GUCACAGCUGACGUGUUGGUUUCCAGACUGCUGCCUCAUGUCCAGGUCUUUAUCCUGUGCUGCUGUUAAAAUAGAAGAACUGAAAUCUAGGCCAGAGUCUUUAACCCCCUUUCUUCAAGGUCCAAGCUAAUCAAAGCCAAGCCAGAAACCAAGACCAAAAGCAAGCAGAGGUGAUACUGACAGACCAGGGCAGGUAAUCACAGGACAAACAUGAAAUCAGUCUUUAAAAAGGCUUAAAGAGAGCCAGCCUGAACGUCUUCACACACGUGGAAAAUACGUAUCAAGCUUGACAUCGACAUGUGAAUAAACAGAUCUGGCCAAUCAGACCACUGCAUUUGGCGACAGUUGCGCUCAUAGCUCAAAAACGCACAGCAGCACUGAAUAUACAAUGACAUGGAAAUAGUCAAAGUCUGUGCCUCAGACACAGAGCCUGCUGCUGCCUCGGGUCGGUCGGCUCUCUGAAAUGAAUUCUCCUCAGUGGAGAGCGAGCUCUCCUCCUGCCUGGUGUUUGGUACUCGGGGGCCACGCCUGAGAGCAGGAAGGCUGCACAGAGGGUCAUUAACACUGCCCAAAAAAUCACUGCCCCUGCCCGGAGGCCAUCGACAAUUAAAGGCUAUUCUAUUGAAUUAAUUUCUAUUGUGGGAUCGCCUUUGAUGUGUUCAUGUUUAGACUCAAACCAGUUUGAUCUUUGAUGUAAAAUAAUAACUCCCCUCAAAUGUGUAAAACCAAAACUAACAAGCCUGUUUUGAAAAUGUAAGCAGUAAAAGUGAAAAAUACAGACAUAGACAAAAUUGUUGGUACCCUUCUGUCAAUGAAAGAAAAACUCACAAUGGUUACAGAAUUAACUUUAAUCUGACAAAAGUAAUAAUAAAUAAAAAUUGGUCACAUUAUUUUCAUUCUUUUCUAGGGGUACCAUCAUUUUUGUCCAGGCCUGUUUCAUGUAUUUAUUUUUUAAAUAAUUCAGUUGAAGCAUGGUUAAAAAGCAAUGUCUGACUUUCAUUGGUUAAGAUUUAUAGAAUUUUUAUUUAUUAUUACUUUUGUCAGAUUAAAGUUAUUUCUGUGACCAUUGUGAGUUUUUCUUUCAUUGACCGAAGGGUACCAACAAUUUUGUCCACGUCUGUAUUCAUACUUUGUUACUUCCACCCUCUGGUUGUGAUAUAGCUUCAACUCCUGGAUUAAUCCUGCUGCCUUCUCCUGAAAGUGGUGUACUUACAGUUGCAGGCCCACUUUGAUUUUAACAAGAUCUCUGAAAAAUUUCAAUCUGGUUUUAAAUCACUACAUAGCACUGAGAUGGCACGUUUAAGGAUUUUUAAUGAUAUUCUUUUAACUCUGAACUCUGGCAGCCCUGCUGCCCUUUUACUGUUGGACCUGUCAGCAGCUUUUGACACGGUUGACCAUGACAUCCUGUUAUCACUGCUAGAAUUUCAUGCUGGCCUAAAAGGAUCUGCCCUCCAGUGGUUUCGGUCCUACUUGUCAGGAAGGUCUUUUUAUGUCAAUAUGGGCCCCCAUAGCUCCAAAAUAGCCCCUCUUAAAUACGGUGUACCUCAAGGCUCUAUUUUGGGUCCUGCCCUGUUCGCACUGUAUUAGUUGCCAUUGGGUUUCAUCUUCUCGUGCUACAACAUUUCAUUCCAGUGCUUUGCUGAUGAUUUGCAGAUUUAUCUGCCUUUAAAAGCAGGCUCAGACCAUCCCCAGCUCUUAUUACGCUGCCUUGACAACAUCAAACAGUGGAUGUCUUUAAAUUUUCUAAAGCUAAAUGAAAAUAUAAUAUAAUAUAAUAUAAUAUAACUGAAGUUGUCAUUUUUGGCAUCUUUGUCAAUAAUCACGUCACCAGCACUCUGGGCCCCCUUUCCUGCUACUGCAAAACACAUGUAAAAACCUCGGUGUCUAUCUUGAUGGUUCCUUUAAAUUGAAUAAGCAGGUGAGUGCAGUAGUCCAAUCCUGCUUCUUUCAGGUAAGAACGGUAGCCAAGGUAAAGCCAUUCCUCCCAGCUAAUGUCUUUGAGCGUGUUAUUCACCUUUUCCUUACUUGCAGAUUGGACUACUGCAAUUCAUUGUAUUUUGGUCUCGACCAGGCCUCCAUUCAUCGUCUUCAGAUGGUCCAAAAUGCAGCUGCUCGCCUGCUAACUGGUACCAAACGGAGAGAGCAUAUAACCCCAGUUUUACACUGGCUUCCUGUCUCCUACAGGAUCCAAUUUAAACUUUUACUUUUGGUUUUUAAGCCGCUUAACGCCCAAGCCUCUUCUUACCUGUCUGAGCUCCUCUCUGUUUAUGCUCCAGGAAAAGCCAUGAGGUCUAGCUCAAAAUUAAUGCUGUCCAUCCCACGGACUGAUCUCAAAUCCCGUGGCAAAAGAGCCUUCUCUGUGGCAGGUCCCAGACUCUGGAAUAGUCUUCCCCUAAAUAUUAGAUCUGCACAAUUUAAAUCACUACUAAAGACACAUUUUUAUGCCCUGGCUUUUAACA